UACAGAGGUCUCAAGCGUUGUUCGGAUUCAUUAGGCGUAAAGGGUGUGUAGGUGGCGCGCUAAGUCGGGUGUGAAAUUUCGGAGCUUAACUCCGAAACUGCAUUCGAUACUGGCGUGCUUGAGGACUGGAGAGGAGACUGGAAUUCAUGGUGUAGCAGUGAAAUGCGUAGAGAUCAUGAGGAAGACCAGUGGCGAAGGCGGGUCUCUGGACAGUUCCUGACACUGAGACACGAAGGCCAGGGGAGCAAACGGG
rnacentral:rRNA from 1 species